rnacentral:rRNA from 1 species
AUUGAACGCUGGCGGCAGGCCUAACACAUGCAAGUCGAACGAGUGGCGGACGGGUGAGUAAUGUCUAGUAAACUGCCUGAUGGAGGGGGAUAACUACUGGAAACGGUAGCUAAUACCGCAUACCAUCGGAUGUGCCCAGAUGGGAUUAGCUAGUAGGUGGGGUAAAGGCUCACCUAGGCGACGAUCCCCAGCUGGUCUGAGAGGAUGACCAGCCACAUUGGGACUGAGACACGGUCCAGACUCCUACGGGAGGCAGCAGUGGGGAAUAUUGCACAAUGGGCGCAAGCCUGAUGCAGCCAUGCCGCGUGUAUGAAGAAGGCCCUAGGGUUGUAAAGUACUUUCAGCGGGGAGGCGUUACCCGCAGAAGAAGCACCGGCUAACUCCGUGCCAGCAGCCGCGGUAAUUC